rnacentral:miRNA from 1 species
CUACUUCCCAACACCAGGGUC